GAUGAACGCUGGCGGCGUGCUUAACACAUGCAAGUCGAACGGAAAGGCCAGUGCUUGCCCUGGUGCUCGAGUGGCGAACGGGUGAGUAACACGUGGGUGAUCUGCCCUGCACUUUGGGAUAAGCCUGGGAAACUGGGUCCAAUACCAGAUAGGACCAUGCUUUGGAUGGUGUGGUGGAAAGUUUUUUCGGUGUGGGAUGAGCUUGCGGCCUAUCAGCUUGUUGGUGGGGUAAUGGUCUACCAAGGCGUCGACGGGUAGCCGGCCUGAGAGGGUGUACGGCCACAUUGGGACUGAGAUACGGCCCAGACUCCUACGGGAGGCAGCAGUGGGGAAUAUUGCACAAUGGGCGCAAGCCUGAUGCAGCGACGCCGCGUGGGGGAUGACGGCCUUCGGGUUGUAAACUCCUUUCGCAACUGACGAAGCUUUUUGUGACGGUAGGUUGAGAAGAAGCACCGGCUAACUACGUG
rnacentral:rRNA from 1 species